rnacentral:rRNA from 3 species
UGGGGAAUAUUGCACAAUGGGCGCAAGCCUGAUGCAGCGACGCCGCGUGAGGGAUGACGGCCUUCGGGUUGUAAACCUCUUUCAGCACGGAAGAAGCGAAAGUGACGGUACGUGCAGAAGAAGCGCCGGCUAACUACGUGCCAGCAGCCGCGGUAAUACGUAGGGCGCAAGCGUUGUCCGGAAUUAUUGGGCGUAAAGAGCUCGUAGGCGGUUUGUCGCGUCUGCUGUGAAAGCCCGGGGCUUAACCCCGGGUGUGCAGUGGGUACGGGCAGACUUGAGUGCAGUAGGGGAGACUGGAACUCCUGGUGUAGCGGUGAAAUGCGCAGAUAUCAGGAAGAACACCGAUGGCGAAGGCAGGUCUCUGGGCUGUUACUGACGCUGAGGAGCGAAAGCAUGGGGAGCGAACAGG